GUAGGGAAUAUUGGGCAAUGGUCGGAAGACUGACCCAGCCAUGCCGCGUGCAGGAAGACGGCCCUCUGGGUUGUAAACUGCUUUUAUCUGGGAAGAAAAAGGCCAUGCGUGGCAAAUUGCCGGUACCAGAUGAAUAAGCACCGGCUAACUCCGUGCCAGCAGCCGCGGUAAUACGGAGGGUGCGAGCGUUGUCCGGAUUUAUUGGGUUUAAAGGGUGCGUAGGCGGCUGAUUAAGUCAGCGGUGAAAGACUUCGGCUUAACCGGAGCAGUGCCGUUGAUACUGGUUGGCUUGAGUGUCGGAGGGGUACAUGGAAUUGACGGUGUAGCGGUGAAAUGCAUAGAUACCAUCAGGAACACCGAUAGCGAAGGCAUUGUACUGGCCGACAACUGACGCUGAUGCACGAAAGUGUGGGGAUCGAACAGGAUUAGAAACCCCGGUAGUCC
rnacentral:rRNA from 1 species